CCUACGGGAGGCAGCAGUGGGGAAUAUUGCACAAUGGGGGAAACCCUGAUGCAGCAACGCCGCGUGAGUGAAGAAGUAUUUCGGUAUGUAAAGCUCUAUCAGCAGGGAAGAAGAAAGACGGUACCUGACUAAGAAGCCCCGGCUAACUACGUGCCAGCAGCCGCGGUAAUACGUAGGGGGCAAGCGUUAUCCGGAUUUACUGGGUGUAAAGGGUGCGCAGGCGGCUCUGCAAGUCAGGCGUGAAAGCUAGGGGCUCAACCCCUAAACUGCGCUUGAAACUGUGGAGCUUGAGUGAAGUAGAGGCA
rnacentral:rRNA from 1 species